UGGGGAAUUUUGGACAAUGGGCGAAAGCCUGAUCCAGCAAUGCCGCGUGUGUGAAGAAGGCCUUCGGGUUGUAAAGCACUUUUGUCCGGAAAGAAAUCCUCUGGGUUAAUACCUCGGGGGGAUGACGGUACCGGAAGAAUAAGCACCGGCUAACUACGUGCCAGCAGCCGCGGUAAUACGUAGGGUGCAAGCGUUAAUCGGAAUUACUGGGCGUAAAGCGUGCGCAGGCGGUUUUGUAAGACGGAUGUGAAAUCCCCGGGCUUAACCUGGGAACUGCAUUCGUGACUGCAAGGCUAGAGUAUGGCAGAGGGGGGUAGAAUUCCACGUGUAGCAGUGAAAUGCGUAGAGAUGUGGAGGAAUACCGAUGGCGAAGGCAGCCCCCUGGGCCAAUACUGACGCUCAUGCACGAAAGCGUGGGGAGCAAACAGGAUUAGAUACCCUGGUAGUCCACGCCCUAAACGAUGUCAACUAGUUGUUGGGGAUUCAUUUCCUUAGUAACGUAGCUAACGCGUGAAGUUGACCGCCUGGGGGAGUACGGUCGCAAGAUUAAAACUCAAAUGAAUUGACGGGGUCAUAGCUG
rnacentral:rRNA from 1 species